rnacentral:rRNA from 1 species
GACGAACGCUGGCGGCGUGCUUAACACAUGCAAGUCGAACGGAAAGGCCCUGCUUUUGUGGGGUGCUCGAGUGGCGAACGGGUGAGUAACACGUGAGUAACCUGCCCUUGACUUUGGGAUAACUUCGGGAAACUGGGGCUAAUACCGGAUAGGAGCUCCUGCUGCAUGGUGGGGGUUGGAAAGUUUCGGCGGUUGGGGAUGGACUCGCGGCUUAUCAGCUUGUUGGUGGGGUAGUGGCUUACCAAGGCUUUGACGGGUAGCCGGCCUGAGGGGGUGACCGGCCAAAUGGGGAAGGGGAACCGGCCCAGACCCCUAGGGGGGGCAGGGGUGGGGAAUAUUGCACAAGGGGGGGAAGCCUGAUGCAGAAACGCCGGGGGGGGGAGGGGGGCCUUGGGGUGGAAAACCGCUUUCCCCGGGGACGAAGGGGGGGGGAGGGAAAGGGGGAAAGAAGCACGGGCAAACUACGG